UCCAGAUAUGGGAGAUUGGGUUUCACAGGAGGAGGUUCUCCCUUGCGCAUUCUUCUCGAGCGUCUAUUCAAGGCAGCGUUUGGAUUGCAGGUAAAUUCGUCUUUGUUGGUAUCUAAGGCAGUAGGUCAACAAAGAGAGUGGAUAAAAUGUACGCUCACAUUUGGAUUUGAAGGCCUGUUCCCAAUUGUAUAGGAUUUGCCAUCUUCUGCACUGGCAAAUACGCACCCAAUUGAGUAGAGGAAGAGGCAGGGGAAGAAUACUCGGUAGUUGCAAGCAAAUUCCAGAAGCUAGCCACCUGUACAAGCGAGAAAUUUUUCACCUUUGUUUAGCAAUCAGGACUCGAUGGAGAAUCCUACUUACAGAUAAUGAGUAUUUUUUAUGUCAACGAGUCAUCAUUGUUCCUUU